rnacentral:pre_miRNA from 14 species
AGAGCCCGGCAGCCGCUGUGCAGUGGGAAGGGGGGCCGAUACACUGUACGAGAGUGAGUAGCAGGUCUCACAGUGAACCGGUCUCUUUCCCUACUGUGUCACACUCCUAAUGGAAUGC